UGGCCAGACUCCUACGGGAGGCAGCAGUGAGGAAUAUUGGUCAAUGGGCGGAAGCCUGAACCAGCCAAGUCGCGUGAGGGAAUAAGGCCCUACGGGUCGUAAACCUCUUUUGCCGGGGAGCAAGGGCCGGGACGCGUCCCGGCCCGGAGAGUACCCGGAGAAAAAGCAUCGGCUAACUCCGUGCCAGCAGCCGCGGUAAUACGGAGGAUGCGAGCGUUAUCCGGAUUUAUUGGGUUUAAAGGGUGCGUAGGCGGGAUGCCAAGUCAGCGGUAAAAAUGCGGUGCUCAACGCCGUCGAGCCGUUGAAACUGGCGUUCUUGAGUGGGCGAGAAGUAUGCGGAAUGCGUGGUGUAGCGGUGAAAUGCAUAGAUAUCACGCAGAACUCCGAUUGCGAAGGCAGCAUACCGGCGCCCUACUGACGCUGAGGCACGAAAGCGUGGGUAUCGAACAGGAUUAGAUACCCUGGUAAC
rnacentral:rRNA from 1 species